GGGAGUGUGGUCUAGUGGUAUGAUUCUCGCUUUGGGAGAUGAUUUCGAUCAUUCAGCAAGUAUGCGAGAGGCCCAGGGUUCAAUUCCCUGCUCUCCCC